AUUGAACGCUGGCGGCAGGCUUAACACAUGCAAGUCGAGCGAGUGGCGGACGGGUGAGUAAUGUCUGGGAAACUGCCUGAUGGAGGGGGAUAACUACUGGAAACGGUUGCUAAUACCGCAUACCAUCAGAUGUGCCCAGGUGGGAUUAGCUAGUAGGUGGGGUAAUGGCUCACCUAGGCGACGAUCCCUAGCUGGUAUGAGAGGGUGACCGGCCACACUGGAGCGGAGACACGGUCCAGACUCCAACGAGAGGCAGCAGUGGGGAAACUUGCACAAGGGGCGCAAGCCUGAUGCAGCCAUGCCGCGUGUGUGAAGAGGGCCUUCGGGUUGUAAAGCACUUUCAGAGAGGAGGCGUUACUCGCAGAAGAAGCACCGGAUAACUCCGUACCAGCCGCAGCGGUAAUAC
rnacentral:rRNA from 1 species